rnacentral:rRNA from 1 species
CCUACGGGAGGCAGCAGUGGGGAAUUUUGGACAAUGGGCGCAAGCCUGAACCAGCUAAUCCGCGUGUGGGAAGACGGCCUUCGGGUUGUAAACCACUUUUGUAUAUAACGCAAAGUCUGUUGAUCAUCCCGAUAGCUGAUGACGGUACUGUAAGAGUAAGCACCAGCUAACUACGUGCCAGCAGCAGCGGUAAUACGUAGGGUUCGAGCGUUAAUCGGAAUUAGUGGGCGUAAAGCGUGUGCAGGCGGGUUUGCAAGAUGGAUGGGAAAGCCACGGGCUUAACCCGGGAACGCCAUACAUGACUGGAAGACUAGAGUGCGUGAGAGGGGGGUGGAAUUCCAAGUGUAGCGGUAAAAUGCGUAGAUAUAUGGAAGAACACCAGUGGCGAAGGCGGCCGCCUGGCCGGGUACUGACGCUGAGGCACGAAAGCGUGGGGAGCAAACAGGAUUAGAUACCCUAGUAGUC